UACGAAGGGGGCUAGCGUUGCUCGGAAUCACUGGGCGUAAAGCGCACGUAGGCGGAUCUUUAAGUCAGAGGUGAAAAUCCCAAGGCUCAACCUUGGAACUGCCUUUGAUACUGGGGAUCUCGAGUCCGGAAGAGGUGAGUGGAACUGCGAGUGUAGAGGUGAAAUUCGUAGAUAUUCGGCAAGAACACCAGUGGCGAAGGCGGCUCACUGGUCCGGUACUGACGCUGAGGAGCGAAAGCGUGGGGAGCGAACGG
rnacentral:rRNA from 1 species